rnacentral:rRNA from 1 species
UACGUAGGGGGCGAGCGUUGUCCGGAUUUAUUGGGCGUAAAGAGCUCGUAGGCGGUUUGGCAAGUCGGGUGUGAAAACUCCGGGCUCAACUCGGAGACGCCACUCGAUACUGCUAUGACUCGAGUCCGGUAGGGGAGUGCGGAAUUCCUGGUGUAGCGGUGAAAUGCGCAGAUAUCAGGAGGAACACCGGUGGCGAAGGCGGGUCUCUGGGCCGAUAUUGACGCUGAGGAGCGAAAGCGUGGGGAGCGAACAGG